GGAGGAGAUCUUCCUGGAGUUGGAUCGGCAGUGGGCUCUAGUCUGUCUUCUUUGUGGAAUCCAUGAGAUAGUCCCAUGAUCCUAGGAGAGGCAGACGGGAGCCAGCCAGAAAAAAAUCAAGCACAGCCCCAGGAAUAAACUGUGUAACCCUUAAAGAUGCAAAAUGAUCCACAGGAUUCCUCAGGCCUGCCUAGAUGCUGUACAGGUGGGGCUUCCUGCAGAACCACACAACCUCAGAAGCUGCCAGGCUUUUGUGUUUUUCUGGGAGUGUUGCAACUGUGCAUUAUCUUAAUUGCACAAGCCAACCAGAGCAUGGCCCAGUGUUCAGCCUCUUCUGGGAACGGAGUCAAAAGAACAGUUUCCAGUGACCACCUCACAGUCUCGAAAUGUCUCCUCCUCCAGUGGGAUCCGAUCAUGGAGAAGGCCUGAAGAAGCACUGAGUUGGAGACUUUUAGGGUCCUGCAGUAAGUUUUCACAGGCAGCCUUUUUUUCAGUACCAGGUCAACUCUGCCUCUACCCUUUUCCUCUGCUUAGGCAGGCUGACAGUCUGACAGCUGCGUACAGGAACCUGCCUCACGAAUGGGCAUGUGCUAAUGUCAAGACACCAAGCCUGAUUGUGAGUUCUGGCUAGCAUCACAAUGAAUGUCAUCGUUGCCUAGAGACAACUCUCUGUGGCUUGGCAGAGAAGGAGACCUCCACUGAGUUGCAUCAGCAUUGGACUCUCGCCUCUCUUCUCGGUGGGAUCCAUGGGGUAGUCCUCUGAUCCUAGCAGAUGGCAAACUUGGAAAAAUGAAGCACUGACCCAGGAAUAAACCACAAAAUCCCUAAGGAUCCAAAAGGAUCUGCAGGAUUCCUCUGGCCUGCC